ensembl:lncRNA novel transcript
CCCACCCCCUGGCCCCCCUGGCAAAUCCUGAUCUUCCACAUCCCUGCAUGUCACCCCCUCAUUCUUAUUUUUUAAAAACUAAAAUUCCUCUAUUAAAUGAUGAAGAUAAAGGAGAAGAUACAGCUUAUAAAACUACAUAAAACACAGCAUAACCAAAGAGAUGAAAACAUGUAUAAAGAAAGCUAAUUAAAGAGAAAAUAGAGUAAACAGACUAUAGAAAUAGUGUGAGACGAAAAGCAAAUUUGAGCGAUUUUCUUAUUCGAAUUCAAAAUGGGUCAUAAAGUGGCAGAGACAACUCGUAACAUCAACAAUGCAUUUGGCCCAGGAACUGCUAACGAACGUACAGUACAGUGGCGGUUCAAGAAGUUUCACAAAGGAGAUGAGAGCCUUGAAGAUAAGGAGCACGGCAGCCGGCCAUUGGAAGUUGAUAAUAAUCAGUUGAGACCACUCAUCGAAGCUAAUCUACUUACAACUACUCGAGAAGUUGCCAAAGAUCUCAGUGUCGACCACUCUAUGGUCAUUAGGCAUUUGAAGCAAAUUGGAAAGAUGAAAAACUUUGGAUAAGUGGAUGCCUCGUGAGCUGAGCAAAAAUUUAAAAAAAAAUAGUCAUUUUGAAGUGUCAUCUUCUCUUAUUCUACACAACAACGAUGAACCAUUUCUCCAUUGGAUUGUGAUGUGCAAUGAAAAGUGGAUUUUAUAUGACAACCGGUGAUGACCAGGUCAGUGGUUGAACUGAGAGGAAGCUCCAAAGCACUUCCGAAAAUCAAACUUGCACCAAAAAAGGUUAUGGUCACUGCUGGGUGGUCUGCUGCUGGUCUGAUCCACUACAGCUUUCUGAAUCCCGGUGAAAACAUUACAUCUGAGAAGUAUGAUCAGCAAAUCGAUGAGAUGCACCAAAAAUUGCAAUGCCUGGAGCUGGCAUUGGUCAAUAGAAAGGGCCCAAUUCUUCUCGACAAGCCUGACCACACAUUGCACAACCAAAGCUUCAAAAGUUGAACAAAUUGGGCUACGAAGUUUUGCCUCAUCCGCCAUAUUCACGUGACCUCUUACCAACUGACUACCACUUCUUCCAGUAUCUCAACAACUUUGUCCAGGGAAAAUGCUUCCACCACCAGCAGGAUGCAGAAAAUGCUUUCCAAUAGUUUGUCAAAUCCUGAAGCACAGAUUUUUAUACUACAGGAAUAAACAAACUUAUGUCAAAUCCUGAAGCACAGAUUUUUAUGUUACAGGAAUAAACAAACUUAUUUCUCAUUGACAAAAA